UGGUACCUUCUGCCCCCCACCCCCCAAGCCCUCCCGGCGCUGCUGGGCGGCGGCAGAGUCCUCUCGGCCUUGGUUUCUCCCAACCGUCGCCGGGCCUGGGCGCCCUCCGCGUCCGCCCCUCUCCGCACGUCGCGCACCCCCGGUCGCAGCCCACUAAUGGUCUGGCCCGUCGGUAGCCACCACCCCCUUCGGCAGCGACAGCUGCUCCAGCUGCUCUGGGUGGAGCGCCCCAGCCCCGAGCCGUGGCUGCCUAGGGUGGCGGGCCCGCGGAGGGGAGCAGCGGACCACCAGCUCUGGCUGAGGGGUCCGGGGGCGACCGCCCGCGGGGAUCCGGGACGCGGGGGAGCCGCAGACGGACCGCCUGCAGCGCGGAGGCGAGGACCGGGGCUGGGCUUUCCUCACCCGGGUACCUUCUCAUCCCAUAACUUCGGUGUCCUGAAAUCUGAGGAUUCCACCGAGAUAAUAUGAUAGGAACUUUCAGUGAUUUGGAGCUGUAUCCUACUUAGACUCAUGCAGGCCUUCCAGAUUUCCUGAGAGCUUGGUACAGCAACACACACUGUCACAGGCACAGACAAUAAUGCCAUCUCUGCCUCAAGAAAGAGUUAUUCAGGGACCCUCUCCCCUGGAUCUGAAUACAGAAUUGCCUUAUCAAAGCACAAUGAAAAGGAAAGUCAGAAAGAAGAAAAAGAAGGGAAUCAUUACAGCAAAUGUUGCUGGGACAAAGUUUGAAAUUGUUCGUUUAGUAAUAGAUGAAAUGGGAUUUAUGAAAACUCCAGAUGAGGAUGAAACAAGCAACCUUAUAUGGUGUGAUUCUGCAGUUCAGCAGGAGAAGAUUGCCGAGCUGCAAAAUUACCAGAGGAUCAACCAUUUUCCAGGAAUGGGGGAGAUCUGUAGAAAGGAUUUCUUAGCAAGAAAUAUGACCAAAAUGAUCAAGUCCCGGCCUCUGGAUUAUACCUUUGUUCCUCGAACAUGGAUCUUCCCUGCUGAAUAUACACAAUUCCAGAACUAUAUGAAAGAAUUGAAGAAAAAGAGAAAGCAGAAAACUUUUAUAGUAAAACCAGCUAAUGGUGCAAUGGGUCAUGGGAUUUCUUUGAUAAGAAAUGGUGACAAACUUCCAUCUCAGGAUCAUUUGAUUGUUCAAGAAUACAUUGAAAAGCCUUUCCUAAUGGAAGGUUACAAGUUUGAUUUACGAAUUUAUAUUCUGGUAACAUCAUGUGAUCCACUGAAAAUAUUUCUCUACCAUGAUGGACUUGUGCGAAUGGGGACAGAGAAAUACAUCCCACCUAAUGAGUCUAAUUUGACGCAGUUAUACAUGCAUCUAACAAACUACUCUGUGAACAAGCACAAUGAGCGUUUUGAAAGGGAUGAGACUGAAAACAAAGGCAGCAAACGUUCCAUCAAGUGGUUUACAGAAUUCCUACAAGCAAAUCAACAUGAUGUUGCUAAGUUUUGGAGUGAUAUUUCAGAAUUGGUUGUAAAAACUUUGAUUGUAGCAGAACCUCAUGUCCUGCAUGCAUAUCGAAUGUGCAGACCCGGUCAGCCUCCAGGAAGUGAAAGCGUCUGUUUUGAAGUUCUGGGAUUUGAUAUUUUGUUGGACAGAAAACUAAAGCCAUGGCUUCUGGAGAUUAAUCGAGCUCCAAGCUUUGGAACAGAUCAGAAAAUAGACUAUGAUGUAAAAAGGGGAGUGCUGCUAAAUGCAUUGAAACUGCUAAACAUCAGGACCAGUGAUAAAAGGAGAAACUUGGCCAAACAAAAAGCUGAGGCUCAAAGAAGGCUUUAUGGCCAAAAUUCAAUAAAAAGGCUCUUACCAGGUUCCUCAGACUGGGAACAGCAGAGACAUCAGUUAGAGAGGCGGAAAGAAGAGUUGAAAGAGAGACUUGCUCAAGUACGAAAACAGAUCUUAAAAGAAGAACAUGAAAAUCGACAUAUGGGGAAUUAUAGACGAAUUUAUCCUCCUGAAGAUAAAACUCUGCUUGAAAAGUAUGAAAAUUUGUUGGCUGUUGCCUUUCAGACCUUCCUGUCAGGAAGAGCAGCUUCAUUCCAGCGAGAGCUGAAUAAUCCUUUGAAAAGGAUGAAGGAGGAAGAUAUUUUAGAUCUUCUGGAACAAUGUGAAAUUGACGAUGAAAAACUGAUGGGCAAAACUGUCAAGCCUCGAGGACCAAAGCCUCUGUCCUCCAUGCCUGAGAGCUCUGAGGUAAUGAGAAGACAGAAAUACUAUAGCAGUGACAGCAGUUAUGACAGUAGCAGCAGCUCUUCGGAAUCAGAUGACAACGAAAAGGAAGAAUACCAAAAUAAGAAAAGAGAAAAACAAGUUACGUAUGACCUGAAACAGUCCAACCACUACAAGUUAAUUCAACAAUCCAGCUCUAUUAGGCGUUCAGUCAGUUGCCCUCGGUCCAUCUCUUCUCAAUCACCUUCCAGUGCAGACAACCGGCCAUUUUCUGCUCAACAAAUGAUAUCAGCAUCCCGGCCGGCUUCAGGGUCUCGGUCGCAUUCCUUAAACCGUGCUUCCUCCUACAUGAGGCAUCUGCCUCACACUAAUGAAGCCAGCUCUACUAACUCUCAGAUGAGUGAGUCUUUGCGGCAACCGAGAACAAAGGAACAAGAAGACCAUCUAACAAGUCAGACCUUAUUUGUCCUCAAGGACAUGAAGAUCCGGUUUCCAGGAAAAUCAGAUGCAGAAUCAUUACUUCUGAUAGAAGAUAUCAUUGAUAACUGGAGGUAUCAUAAAACAAAAGUGGCUUCAUAUUGGCUCAUAAAAUUGGACUCUGUAAAACAACGAAAAGUUUUGGACAUAGUAAAAACAAGUAUCCGUACAAUUCUUCCACGCAUCUGGAAGGUACCUGAUGUCGAGGAAGUAAAUUUAUAUCGGAUUUUCAAUAGGGUUUUUAAUCGCUUACUCUGGAGUCAUGGUCAAGGACUGUGGAACUGUUUCUGCGAUUCAGGAUCCUCUUGGGAGAGUAUUUUCAGUAAAAGCCCGGAGGUGGUGACUCCUUUGCAGCUCCAGUGUUGCCAGCGCCUGGUUGAGCUUUGUAAACAGUGCCUGCUAGUGGUUUACAAGUAUGCAACUGACACAAGAGGAUCACUGUCAGGCCCUGGUACUGAUUGGAGUAACUCCAGCUAGAGAAAAAGCUAAAGACCAAAAAUUCAUACCCGCUAUUAUCUACAAAAGACUUUUAAUCUGCACAGUCUUUGCCUUUGAAGGACCAAACAAGGACAACAGCCACAAACCUGAAGGUGACAGAAAUAACCUACAUGGAAAUGAGAUUAUUUGGUUUAUAUACUUUUGCUUUCAAAAGCCAAGUAAAAGCAUCCAAAAAAUGGUAUUUGUUACCAGGAAGUACACAAUUCUUCAUGAGAACACCAACCUACACCUUGAAAUACAGUUCACCUGGAAUGACUCGCUCCAAUGUUUUGUUUACGUCCCGAUAUGGCCAUUUGUGAAACAGAAAGGAAGAUCACCAUGGAUUAUGCAUAAUAGCAAUUCAUUUUUUCCCUCCAAUUUAAACAUGCAAAGAAAGUGACCAUUAAGUGCUGUUUUAUGUAUAUAUGACAUAUAUGUGUGAAAAUAUAUACACAUGUGCACUCAAAUAAUACAUAUAUAUUUAUUAUAAUAUAUGAAAGAAGAAUUAGCAGAAAACUGGAUAUAAGACUUAACCUUUCUGGAAAUGUAAUAAACCAUGCUAAAAUUGUUUACACAAAUAUGUGAAUGUCUAGAAUUUGCUAGGUUUAUAAUUAAUACGUUCCUACUAGAAAUGUUAUUUUUGCUGCAGAAUAUAUAAAACAGAAUUGAUCUUGAAGAUCCCAUUUCAGUGUUAAAUUAUUUUCUAGACAACACAUCUUUUGACUUGAAAAAGCAUUAAUAGUAUAAUACCUUAUUAAUUCUCUUAUAUAUAGUAGCCAUUUAAAAUGAGAAACAAAGCUAGAAGCCUGGUGUUGCUUGAUGAUAGGAUUAAAUAUAAGACGGGUUUAUCAUUACUACAGCACACUGCAAACUACUAUAAAAAUUCCAACCUGAAAUUCCCCACAUUUUUAUUUCUCCAUAUGAAAAUUUAGCUACUGGUGAUGAUGUACAUUUUCAGUUAGGAUCUAGUGAGAUCAUAUAAUGAUCUAAAAUGGAAGACAAUCCAGUGGGUUAAAGUAAACAAAACAUAAACUAGCUUUCAUUUUUCAUGUUUCAUUGGGAGUCACAUAAAGGAACAGAAAAUGAUGGUAAUAACAAAAUCUUUCCAUCUGAUUUUUGUAUCUCAUAUCACUCACUUUUAUUUGGAAAGUAUAUCUCCAAUGGGUACAUAUGGUUAAAUACAAUUUCUUCUGUUCUUCAGAAGUAGAAGAGUUGACAUUUCAAACUCAUUUUGGAGUUAUAGGGUAAUGUGUCACACUUAAAAGUCUCUCAAUGUUGAGACCAACUAACAUUGCAAAGUCUAAUAAAGAGUUUCACAUUGUACCAUAGAAAAUAAUCUAAAUUAUUGCAAAUGGAAGAUUUGAAUUACUAAAUAUUAUUAGUCAUGGAUGUACCCUUGAGAAUUUUCAAAAAUCAAAAUAGAGUAUGAAGUUUUCUUCAUGUGUAAAGUUAUUCUGCAUGAAUUUCUUAGCAGUUUACUUCCUUUUCUUGCUUACAGUUUCAAAAACGACGGAUGAGCAUUCAGUUUUCCAUAAAAAUAUCAACACAGCAGUAUCAUUGACAUGGAAGUCCUUAGAAAUUGUGAUAUUCAUCUUUUAGAAGUUUGUUUAAACUUCUCCCAACGGUCUUAUUUUCUCACAGAUGCUAGUUAUUGGCAAAAUGUAGGAAAGUUUUACCUUUUACUAUCCUAGAAACUGUUUUCAGUAAAUCAAGAAAUGGCCCCAAAGCAGGAGAACUUAAGAGAGGCAAACUGUCCGGUUUUAAUUUACAAAUUGGAUAAUUAGCAACCUGAAGUUGUAAGUUAGAUACAUUUUGCUUUUAGAGCCAUAUUCUGAGGCUGUGAUAGGCUAAAAUAGGUUUUUCCUUAAAUUAUCGCUACUUGAUUCUUUAUGACUACCUAACAUCCAUAGUCCAAUAGAUACUUUUCCUUGCUAGAUGCAUCCCAAAGAAGAAUUUAUUAUUAUCUUUGUGGAAAAAGAGGAUGAGGAUGUCAGGAUAAAGGAAGUUACAUUUUAACUCUGAGUAUUUGUGACUCCACUUUGUGAAUUACUAAAUUCAUUGCAGAUUUCUUAGAAUUAAUAAUGUAAAAAUUGGGAUAUUACAAAAUCAUUUUAAGAGUGAUCAGCAAGUGGGUCUUUUCAUGAAGUAUUUUUUUAAAUGACCUUUCAUUUAAAUUCAUGAUUUCUCCAUGAAUGAGACAUAAUUUCAAGUGUCUGGUAUAUGAUAUCAACCCAGUUUGUUGGUCACUCACUUGCAUUAAUUUAAAUCAAAAUGGUUAUUUCUUAUGCUAGAGUGGGUGCUUUGGAACUUCUGUCCUCAGUGAUAGAAGACGAAAAUUUUUAUUUAAAACAAAAAAGAAGAAUGUUUAACAUGGGGAUGAACCCUCUCCCCCUAGAAAACACACACACACACACACACACACACACACACACACACAAUUUAAAAACCAAAAAUAAGUUAAAAUGUGUGAAACUACCCAAUGAACAAAUUUCACUUCUCUAGCUACUUAGAGCUGGCUUUUUUUGAACACCAGAAUUUUAUUGCUCACAUUUGCAUAUUUAUACUGAUCUAGUUUGAUGUGAUAAAGUUGUGAAUAAAAGCCAUGUGCUCAUUAUUUAUAUAUGCUACCUGGUAUGCUGUGGACUAUGGUUGCUAUAGUGCUUAUUCCCUAAUGAGAAACUAAGAAGAGAAGAUACACUAGUAAACCAUGAAAGUCUCUAGCGGCCACGGAAAUGUUUUAGAGGUAUAAAAUAUUCCUUAGUUUUUAUUAUAAAUUUUUUAUUCAUAGGGUUAAAACAUAUUAAUAUAAGUGAUAGUACGGGUCUGAUUCUCUCUCUCUCUCUUUUCCAGGAGAGAAAAUAACUUUAUUUGAAAAACUCCAGAAGUUAUUCAAUAUUCACAGGAGUUUUUAAUAGGGAAUUUGGGUUACUUAAGUUGAAAGUGUAUUUUCAUUCUGUUAGAGAAAACAUAUCUCUACUCAUUCUGUUAAUCUAAGAUCAGAAUGCUUUCCAGAACCGUAUACGAUUGCAAUGAUUUCCAGAAUUAUAUAAAAAGCAAUCUUUAUUUUAAAUCAUCAUCUAUGAAUAUGGUAUGAGAUUACAGAUUUGUUUUCACUUUAAUUAUCAAGCAUUGUAAUUAAUUAGCAUUUGCUUUAUGUAAUCCAACUAUUGUGAUUCAUAUUUUUAUUUAUUUUUAUUAGCAACAAAUUUUAUUUUACUAGCAUUUCAUUUACCUUGUGUGUAUGAAAAUGAAGCUAUAACAGGAUCAAAUAUGGAAAUAACCUCUGCCAGAUGCAAAGACUUAUACAUAUUUUUUCCAUAUGUCUAAAUUAGGUCUAACUACACAAAAAUUGCCUACUAAUUUCUCCUCCCUAAAACUAAAAUGAGCCAAACUCAGACAGAAACAAACAAAAAAACACUCAAUUUUCUUUUCAUGUAGUAUUUACAAACAACUAGAUGAUAGUGGCUUGUAAACAUCAAGGAUUUCAUUCUAAUUCUCUUUUUAAUUUGGAAAGCAUAUGAUUAUAGAAUUUCAAGUUGGAAGUUAUCUAACUUGAAAUUUCACAUUGUAAUAUAAAUUAAUCCAAGUGCUUUUGUCUUUAGCAUGUCAAAGCCAUUAUGUAAAAUUCUUUUUAAAUCUAAACAUACACAUUAUUUGACCUUUUCAGUGUAACAAAAAUUGAUAGUUGCAUAAACUCUAUUAUUUCUAGGUUUCUAUAAAGCACUGAUUCAUUUUUAAAAGGGUAUUCUUUAAAAAUAAUAGCAAAUACCUCGAGAAGAGUGACAGAAAAUACCUUCCUUUUCUUUUCUGUAAUGCUAAUUUACAUUUCAAAUCUUAGCUUACCUAGUUUUAAGGGCUAAGCAAUAAAAAGUGUAACUUCAAAUAGUUGUGUUGCUGUGACUUAAUUUUUGAAAAUUGGCUUUGCUCUUUAAAUUGAGAAAUUUAUGUUUUCAAGUUCUGAAUUAGUUAUCUAAAUAUUUUGGGUUAAUAGUACUUACAAAUAAAUUAAAAAAUUAGAAAUAUAUUCAUGAUGAAAAUUUUAUUUCUUACACUGCUUUUUAUUUCUUCCUUUUUUCUUUGCUUCUCCUCGUCUUCUUCACUUUAAGCUCCUUUUGAAGUUUUGACCUUUGCGUGGAGAAGGUCAAGAAAAGAUAUCUGCUGCCUUUUAAAUAUUGGUUUUCCUUGUAUUUUAUGGUGGUGUAUUUUUGCCUCAGCAACAGUAAAACUUAGAUAAAAUGUGUUUAGAUCAAGUUCUAUUCAUCUGCUAUUUUUAAGAACCGAGUUUCUACACCUAGAAAGCAUGGAUUGUCUAGACCAUUUGAACCAAGAUGUAUGGAUACAAAGAAUAACCUUGCAACCAAAAAGUAGUAUAUUAAAACUUAUUGCACUCUUUGAGAUCGUUGCCCUUUUUUGGUGAUUUCUCGCCAUGUCAUAAAUGGGUGUAUGGUAUAUUGAAGGAAAAUGAUUCGGGUAACACAUUUUGUAUUAACUGGGCUGUAUUAUCUAAGAAGGGCUACAUAAAACUUUUAUUUUAUCCAUCCCUACUAACUUGAAAACUGUUGGUAAAAUCAUUAUUCAACAGACUAAUAUUUUUUAAAUAAGUAAGAAGGCUUACUUUACAAAAGUAAUCAGAUAAUGCUCUUAUUUUUCUUUCAAAGGCUAACAAUGGCAGUUCUUGGUCCUGAACUGGUUGGUUCAUCCAAUUAAUACUGUACACGCUACAAUAUCAAAUAUUAAUAGAUUUGCUGAAGAUUCUGGGUUUCAAGAAUAGCUUGAAAGCAAUACAUUUUGCUACCAUGAAUCAUGACUCAAAUUAUCCCCCAUGUGCUUUACUACCUGUGUAUGAAUGCAAAUGUUGUUACAGAAAAUAUGCUUGAAAUGUCAACACAAUGUGCAAUUACUAUUGCAUUGUCAUGCUUUAGCAUGUGAUAUCUGUAUGGUGAAGUUAUUUCAAUUACUAUAAUAAAAAAUGUUUAACAUAAGAAAGCUA